AACCAGGCAACGGGGUGCGUCCUCCCGAUGGGGGCGCUGAGAAACACCCGUCGAACCUGAUCUAGGUAGUUCUAGCGAAGGGAUUUGUCAGCAUGAAUACA
rnacentral:ncRNA from 2 species